rnacentral:rRNA from 1 species
GGUUUGAUUAUGGCUCAGAUUGAACGCUGGCGGGAUGCUUUACACAUGCAAGUCGAACGGCAGCACGGACUUCGGUCUGGUGGCGAGUGGCGAACGGGUGAGUAAUGUAUCGGAACGUGCCUAGUAGCGGGGGAUAAUCACGCGAAAGCGUAGCUAAUACCGCAUACGCCCUUCGGGGGAAAGCGGGGGACCUUCGGGCCUCGCACUAUUAGAGCGGCCGAUAUCGGAUUAGCUAGUUGGUGGGGUAACGGCUCACCGGCGACGAUCCGUAGCUGGUUUGAGAGGACGACCGGCCACACUGGGACUGAGACACGGCCCAGACUCCUACGGGAGGCAGCAGUGGGGAAUUUUGGACAAUGGGGGAAACCCUGAUCCAGCCAUCCCGCGUGUGCGAUGAAGGCUCCUCGGGUUGUAAAGCACUAUUGGCAGGAGAAGAAACGGCACGGGAUAAUACCCUCGUGCAACUGACGGUACCUGCAGAAUAAGCACCGGCUAACUACGUGCCAGCAGCCGCGGUAAUACGUAGGGUAAGCGUUAAUCGGAAUUACUGGCGUAAAGCGCAAGCAGGCGGUUCGGAAAGAAAGAUGUGAAAUCCCAGAGCUUAACUUUGGAACUGCAUUUUUAACUACCGAGCUAGAGUGUGUCAGGGAGGGAGGUGGAAUUCCGCGUAGCAGUGAAAUGCGUAGAUAUGCGGAGGAACACCGAUGGCGAAGGCAGCCUCCUGGGAUAACACUGACGCUCAUGCACGAAAGCGUGGGGAGCAAACAGGAUUAGAUACCCUGGUAGUCCACGCCCUAAACGAUGUCAACUAGCCGUUGGGGCCUUUCGGGCCUUGGUAGCGCAGCUAACGCGUGAAGUUGACCGCCUGGGGAGUACGGUCGCAAGAUUAAAACUCAAAGGAAUUGACGGGGACUCGCACAAGCGGUGGAUGAUGUGGAUUAAUUCGAUGCAACGCGAAAAACCUGACUGCACCCUUGACAUGUCUGGAAUCCCGAAGAGAUUUGGGGAGUGCUCGCAAGAGAACCGGAACACAGGUGCUGCAUGGCUGUCGUCAGCUCGUGUCGUGAGACGUUGGGUUAAGUCCCGCAACGAGCGCAACCCUUGUCAUUAGUUGCUACGAAAGGGCACUCUAAUGAGACUGCCGGUGACAAACCGGAGGAAGGUGGGGAUGACGUCAAGUCCUCAUGGGCCCUUGCGGUAGCUUCAACACGUCAUACACAAUGGUCGGGACAGAGGGUCGCCAACCCGCGAGGGGGAGCCAAUCCCAGAAACCCGAUCGUAGUCCGGAUCGUAGUCUGCAACCUGACUGCGCAGAAGUCGGAAUCGCUAGUAAUCGCGGAUCAGCAUGUCGCGGUGAAUACGUUCCCGGGUCUUGUACACACCGCCUGUCACACCAUGGGAGUGGGUUUACCAGAAGUAGUUAGCCUGGUCGCAAGGAGGGCGAUUACCACGGUAGGAUUCAUGACUGGGGUGAAGUCGUAACAAGGUAG